UACGGGAGGCAGCAGUGGGGAAUAUUGCACAAUGGGCGCAAGCCUGAUGCAGCCAUGCCGCGUGUAUGAAGAAGGCCUUCGGGUUGUAAAGUACUUUCAGUCGUGAGGAAGGUGUUAAGGUUAAUAACCUUAGCAAUUGACGUUAGCGACAGAAGAAGCACCGGCUAACUCCGUGCCAGCAGCCGCGGUAAUACGGAGGGUGCGAGCGUUAAUCGGAAUUACUGGGCGUAAAGGGCGCGCAGGCGGUUAAUUAAGUUGGAUGUGAAAUCCCCGGGCUUAACCUGGGAAUGGCAUUCAAGACUGGUUAGCUAGAGUCUUGUAGAGGGGGUAGAAUUCCAUGUGUAGCGGUGAAAUGCGUAGAGAUGUGGAGGAAUACCGGUGGCGAAGGCGGCCCCUGGACAAAGACUGACGCUCAUGUGCGAAAAGCGUGGGGAGCAAAACAGGGAUUAGAUACC
rnacentral:rRNA from 1 species